AUAAAGAACUUUUUACUUGACAAUACAAAAUUUUUAUUCAAUAAAGUUUAUAAUCCUUGACAUUAUUCUAAAAAUUGGUUUAGAUGACGUCUUGAAAUGCUUUAAAAAAAAUUGAUUUAUACAAGGAAAAUUUGGCUGUAUGACGCUGAAAAAAACCAUAAUUCACCUUCUAGUCAAUUUCCCUAAUAUAUCGAUACACCAUCUAUCUUUUCUAUAAUAUUGCCAAAAUACCAUUUCAUUCUACCGGUGAAACCUGAAGAAAAUAAAAAUAAAAAAUCCUAGUUAUUAGCUGUUUCAAAUUACUCGUGGUGUAAUCAUAUUCACAUAUUUUCUUUUACCUUUAUUUAGUAAUUUUUGAGAAAUUGAUCCAUAAUUUUCUCCACCUCUUCCAACCACGUUUCCCUCCUCCCCAUCGCCACCGUCUGUGUUCUCUGAGUUUAUUUCUUUCUCUAAUUGUGUUGCAAAGGGAAUCGUCUCCACUUUGGGAAUCUAUUGCGAGAAGACGUCGUGACAGUCCAAACGGGGAGAAGGAGCACACUGACCAUUUUUCCAUUCACAUCGGCGCUUUUUCUCAGAUAUAUUACAAUACUGUAAGUUCUAGGGUGUGUGUUUUAGAUUCUAUUCUUGCGAUGCUCUUUUUCCCUAUUUGGGUUGCAUGUCGGAUCUAGUAGACAAAGGUCACCGAAUCGAUUUAGGGCUGAACUUUUACCGAUUUGUCUUACUCAUCUGUUUACAUCGAAGUCUAUGGUAAUUUUGUUUGGAAUCGAGACAAAGAUAGUAUAUAUAGAGCUAUUUGAUCGCUCUAUGCUAUGUGACAUGGAAUAGCUUAAAUUGUAUUUAGAAUUUAUAUUCCAUUCAAUGUACUUUUGUGUUCCAAGUUAUACGUAUAUAUACAAUACUAUAUCAAAUAGAAAUAAUUAUCUUGUUUUAUGUAUCGAGUGUAGUUCACUCCUCGCAAAUGGUAAUGUAUAACAAUUCCAUUCUAUGUAACCAUGUGUACCAUGUCAUAUAUAGAUUUACUAUUCCAUAUAAAUAGAAAUGUUUAUCUUGUGCUAUGUAUCAGUUCGCUCAUGUCAUAUUCUCUUUGUGAUUCCAAGACAAAUACAUUUGGCUUAGAAUAAAUGUUUUUAUAGAACUAAGCGACUUUGGCUUUGUAUAGGUUGCUCCGCUGUAGUGACACUUAUCAUGUUAUAAAUGCACGGUGUUGGGAUGGAAUUGAAGUGUGUGGCUUUCACUGAAGAAAAUGUUUGUGUAGCUGAGGAGAACUACUUGAUUGAAACACUGGCACUGUGUCAAGCCGGAGCACUCACCCAGGACGUGUAGACAUGGGUUUAUGGUUUCUAAGCAUUGUUUUUAUGUUCUAGCUUUGCUUCUUGUUUUUAGAUACUACCAUCUAAACUACCUCCGUGUUGUAGUAAUGUUUUAUGUAGUGACUCCAACUCUAUGUAUCUUCUUCCUUUUUGUUGCUUACACUGGAAGAAUGAAAUCACAUUCCAUAUGCGUCAAUUUGAA